rnacentral:misc_RNA from 1 species
CUCUCGCUUUUUCUUAUUUUGCCUUUCCUUUUCAUUUCA